AUUCCUUUGGCUAGUUCAGAAAUAAAUCUCUAUCUAGUAGAAACACAUCCGCACAACAACCUCAAGAAUAUCCCUCAAAUCUCCCACAUAUAAGGGUGCAUGUAAGGGAUCUUUUUUUUAAUGGGAAUGAGUGUAUCUAUAUUUAGUGUGAAAUGUAAAUGUUAUAAUUGUCUGUAGAGCCAGCAAAAAAGAUUUUAACAAUAAUUUUUGUUUUCCUCUUUUGAAACCAGAACAUUUUCUGACAAUUCAUAGGCUUGGAUACAUUGUCAUGGGGAAAAGUUCUCCAACUCAAGAUGGAAAAGCUAAUGUAUUAGUUAAGGCACUCCCUGGAUUAACAAGCUUCAAAUUCUGGGGAGGCGCCUUAACUUCUGGCUUACUGUUUUGAAUAUUCCACCUAUUUGAAGAUCUUAAAGCAGGCAGAUGGGAAAUGCUUACAAAAAUACAAACCCGGUGGAAGCAGAAAAAGAGUGGGUUGGAAUGGACCAUCUGUGAAAACUUUUUGAGUAUCAGAUAUAAGACUUGAAUAGCUGGCAUAGAGAAUGAAAGCCUCAUUACCUCCAGAUGAUACAUAUGCUGAGUCUGCCUUAAAUAUUGCAGAACUGUUCAAACUUCACAGCAGUAAUUCUGGUAAGUUGGAUGAAUGGCAUUUUCUGAGCUGGAUUCAAUAAGCUGACACCACCUGAGCAAUUAAACAAAACAAGGCCCCUUCUUUUCAUGCCAGCUUAUACACAGGAUUUUCAGUGCAAUUGUGCAAUUCAGGAAAGCUGACUUUGGUCAGACAAAUUUGGCAGGUCCACGAGAAUUCCUGAAAUUAUUUAAGCGAAAAACUAGCUGGAUCAUUUUACUCCUAGACUUAAAAGACCUAUUGGUCUAUGAAAACUCAUGAUACAAAAACAUACUAUAUGAUUAAGGACAAUUUUUCAUCAGUUUUUUUUCCUCUUUGUUUUUAUUAUUUUAUUCUGAUGGAAAUAUCUUCCCCUUUUUUGUAGAUUUAUCUGGGUGCAUACAUUUGAAAAAAUGAAGAAAGAAUUGCUUCAUUAGUGUUAAUGCUAAAGAGCAGUAUUUUUUUUAAAACUAUUUUUAACGCUCUUAUUUUGUAGCAAUAAAUAGUUCUCAGCCAUAGAAUCUUUCCCAAGGUGAAAGAGUGAACAGUUACAAAUAUGAGCAGGAAGUGAUACUGGCUAUAAAUUAAAGACCACCUCUAAAAUUACCUACGUUAUUUUGAAAGUAAUUUUAAAGUCAUCUUGCCUUAUUCUCUUCCCCCUAUCCUCCUGAGAUCUUUGUUUGUUGGGUUUCUUUAAGUGAAGUUUUUAAGUGAAGAUCCCAGUUUCUGACUAAAAACUUGGAAUAUGUGUAUAUAACAACAUAAUUAGUGAAUACAGUAUGCGAGCCAUUCAAAUUGGAAUGAAAAAUUCUCCACCAGAUUUUAUAACAGCUGCUGAAGUCAUGUGGAAAAGCCUGCUUCCAGCCUGAACAUCACAGGAAAGAAACAUCAAAGGAUUGUUCAGACUUAACCAUGUCUAGAGUAGGGUAAAAUAAACAAGGGCAAAAGUAUGUUUAUUUUUUGAGGUUUCUUAAAAUCAUUUUUGUCCAUAAUUAUUUUAUAGAGAACUGAAACCUUGUUUUAAAAAUUUCAGGCUCAAUUUGAAAUUAUUCACCCAGAUUCUCCGCAGGAACAAACAUGUUGCUAUGGAGAUGGACCAGAGCAAAGACAAAAUAUAGAUACAGAUAGAUUCCCCAGAGGGAUGUAAUUUGAGGCAUAAGUACACUGCUUAAACAGUAUAAACACUGUCCUGGUAUGCCUUGUUUUCUCCAUCAAAAAUACCCUUAAUCCGAAAUGAUCUGUUGUUGUUCUAGGAAUAGCUUUUAAAAGAUCAGUCGUUCUUCUAAUAUUUCUUUUACUUUUUUUCUUCCAUAAAGGACAAUACAGAAACUUUUUUGUUAUUGCCUAAUAGCAAACCCAUUUUAAAAUAAAAGGGAAAAUCGGCAAUAAAAUGCAUAACAUUUUGAAGAAAAAGCAGCGGCGUGGACUUUGCUGAUAUAAGAGAUCUUGCUUGCUACAAGUUCAAAGUUUGUAACAAAUGUGUAAAAGUGUUUUCCUUUUUCUUCAUUGCUAUAAAAUUUGCUGUGCCCAUGUGGAACUUCUGAGAGAGAAGGGGAUGAAACCCAUACAUCUGCCUCUUGGCAUAAGCAAAAAAUCAUCAUUAAACUUCUGGAUAAGAGGCCCUCUCAAAUAGUAAUUCACCAAAGUGAAAACUCAUGCCAAGGUCUCAUUUUCUGCAAGUAGCUUGUGGAAUUCAAUAUACAUGGCCUUUUAUAGCAUUUCAUCUCCGUGUAGUACCACAACAUGAAGAAGAAAAUAUUCAAGCUAUAAAUUAAAUAGACCUCCUUCACGGAUACCCCAUUCUUGACAUUACAUCUGGAAGCUAUUAAAGCAAGUGGACUUCAGGGAUGUUUUAGAGGCAAUAAGGCACAGAUUUCUAAGUAUUUAUCUACAUCUGUGACCACCAACCAGGUUUUUGAGAGAACUUGACUGUGUUUUAUUAUAUUUCCUCUAUAUUGUAUCUAUGAUGUAAUAUAGACGUGUAUCUAUGCUCAGAAUUAAUCUUGUUAGAGAACUGAAAUACUCGGAAGCCCUUCCAAAUAACUGCUGGAUCAAAUAAGAAGUAGGCACCAAUUUCCCUUCUCCUUCUGUAUAUGCACAAAUACCUGUUCUUUAAUGAGUUCCAGUUCCUUGAGGACUUAAAGGUUAAAUAUGAGUUUUCUGGAUCUCUUACAUUUCAACUUCUAAAUAUAUGUUUUCAGAACACAUUGACACCAUUUUAAAAAGUGGUCACUAAUGUUUGAUUGAGAUGGACUGUUACCCCUUCAUUCAAUUCUGGAGGUAUUUUGUUAAAAUAAUGCCCUUAGAAGUUCAGAAAUUUGAGCCUAUUUGAGCCUAUUCUUUACCAAAACACUAGCUGGGCUAUUAGGGGCUCACACUAAGGAAGUCUCUCACUAGUAAGGUCAGGUUUAAAAGAAAUGUAAGUAUGUUUGUGAAGUCUAGUAGUAGUGAAAGCUUAAUUUCCAAGAACUACAAGUGUUCCCAGUACUGUCUGAAACAGGCUAACUUAUGCAUGUGAUGUAAAUGGUUUGGUCCAUGGAAACAGAGAAGGAAUUGACUGAAGUUUUGGUGAAGUUUAAAGGGUAACUAAGUUUCUGCAACCAGGGUAUAACUAAGAACUUAAACAGGAGGGGAAAACAUUAAUGCUGUGUAAAAGAUAAUUAGUUUGAAAGUUUUGCUUUUAUUGAAAAAGCUACAUAUAUGCCACAGACAGACAAGAAAAAUAGGGAUCAAAAAUAAACAUGGCAAAUCUGACCUCUGGGAACUAGUGAGAGUCACAGCUAUAUUAUAAUCCCAUCAAGCAAAGAAUGCAUGCUCCAUGCUACAUAGAUGACAAAUCAGUGUGUGGUUACAAGGUUCUCUGGGCAGAAACAAUGCAUUAAAAUGAUGGCACUCAGGCAAGCUGAGCUACUAUAUUCAGAACAAAUGCACUUUGAGUGUGAGCAAGAAAGACAUUAAAACCAGAUGUUUGUUUCUAAAUAAACUGUGGCAACACCAUGUAUUCCGGAGCAUGUCAUUUUUUUUGGUGGUGGUAGAGUAUGGCACAAAAAUGAGAUAUUGUAAUAUUGGCAACAUAGAAUAAUAUAACUGAAAGCCCGGGAGCCAGGAAUGAGAAGGUAAGAGGUGAUGCUGGAAUUUCUCUUGCAUUGCAGAGAGUGAACUCCCCUUUUGAUCACUCUGCUGUCACUGGCGGUCUCCCAGUCAGCAGUGAGGUCUCCAGGGCUGAUCUUGGAUGCUGUCACAGUGCAUGAAGAGCCUGCCAGGUGUUGCACAGUGGCAUGGCUGGAUUCCUUGUGCUGUUCCUACAGGGCCAGGAUAGUUCCUUAACUGAGUAGCCUCAAGGUAGAGGCUUUUUGGAAUAGAUGGUCCUCUGUCCCUCUU